rnacentral:rRNA from 1 species
GACGAACGCUGGCGGCGUGCUUAACACAUGCAAGUCGAACGGAAAGGCCCUGCUUUUGUGGGGUGCUCGAGUGGCGAACGGGUGAGUAACACGUGAGUAACCUGCCCUUGACUUUGGGAUAACUUCAGGAAACUGGGGCUAAUACCGGAUAGGAGCUCCUGCUGCAUGGUGUGGGUUGGAAAGUUUCGGCGGUUGGGGAUGGACUCGCGGCUUAUCAGCUUGUUGGUGGGGUAGUGGCUUACCAAGGCUUUGACGGGUAGCCGGCCUGAGAGGGUGACCUGCCCCAUUGGGACUGAGAUACGGCCCAGACUCCUACGGGCGGCAGCAGUGGGGAAUAUUGCACAAUGGGCGGAAGCCUGAUGCAGCAACGCCGCGUGCGGGAUGACGGCCUUCGAGGUGUAAACCGCUUUCGCCUGUGACGAAGCGUGAGUGACGGUAAUGGGUAAAGAAGCACCGGCUAACUACGUG